rnacentral:rRNA from 1 species
UGGGUAACCUGCCUCAAAGAGGGGAAUAGCCUCCCGAAAGGGGAGAUUAAUACCGCAUAAUAUGUUUAAGUCGCAUGACUUUAACAUCAAAGGAUUUUCUUUUAGAACUUCCACUUUGAGAUGGACCCGCGGCGCAUUAGCUAGUUGGUGAGGUAACGGCUCACCAAGGCAACGAUGCGUAGCCGACCUGGAGGAGGGUGAUCCGGCCACAGUUGGAACUGAGACACGGUCCAGACCUCCGUAGGG